CACAUGCAAGUCGUACGAGAGUUUUUAACUCAAGUGGCGGACGGGUGAGGUAACACGUGAGAAUUUACCUUUAGGAGGGGGAUAGACAGAGUUGGAAACGAUUGCUAAUACCCCAUAUGCUUUUUUAAGUGAAAUGGAUUUUUCCGCCUAAAGAAAAGCUCGCGGCUGAUUAGCUAGUUGGUAAGGUAAUGGCUUACCAAGGCGACGAUCAGUAUCUGGUUUGAGAGGACGAUCAGACGCACUGGAACUGAGACACGGUCCAGACUCCUACGGGAGGCAGCAGUGGGAAUUUUCCGCAAUGGGCGAAAGCCUGACGGAGCAAUACCGCGUGAGGGAAGACAGCCUACUGGGUUGUAAACCUCUUUUUU
rnacentral:rRNA from 1 species